UGACCCUUUUUAAGCCGAGGGUCACCUAGCCAACUGACGUUGUUAGUGAACCUAUUUUGUUCACACUUGUAUAUAGCCAGUCACACGUAAUUCGUGGCUGGCUUUUUUUCU
rnacentral:sRNA from 1 species